rnacentral:rRNA from 1 species
GAUGAACGCUGGCGGCGUGCUUAACACAUGCAAGUCGAGCGGGGAUAUUGAGGAAGCUUGCUUCUGAGAUAUUCUAGCGGCGGACGGGUGAGUAACGCGUGAGCAACCUUUCUCUCAGUGGGGAAUAACACAGGGAAACUUGUACUAAUACCGCAUGAGACCACAGAGUCGCAUGACUUAGGGGUCAAAGAUUUAUUGCUGAGAGGUGGGCUCGCGUCUGAUUAGGUAGUUGGUGAGGUAACGGCCCACCAAGGCGACGAUCAGUAGGGGUUCUGAGAGGAAGGUCCCCCACAUUGGAACUGAGACACGGUCCAAACUCCUACGGGAGGCAGCAGUGGGGAAUAUUGGGCAAUGGGCGCAAGCCUGACCCAGCAACGCCGCGUGAAGGAAGAAGGCUUUCGGGUUGUAAAACUUCUUUUGUCGAGGAAGAGUAGAAGACUGUACUCGGCGAAUAAGCCACGGCUAACUACGUG